CAGCCUGACCAGCCAUGCCGCGUGCAGGAUGACGCAUCUAUGGUGUGUAAACUGCUUUUGUACGGGAAGAAACCCUGCCACGUGUGGCAGAUUGACGGUACCGUAAGAAUAAGGAUCGGCUAACUCCGUGCCAGCAGCCGCGGUAAUACGGAGGAUCCAAGCGUUAUCCGGAAUCAUUGGGUUUAAAGGGUCCGUAGGCGGUUUUAUAAGUCAGUGGUGAAAUCCGGCAGCUCAACUGUCGAACUGCCAUUGAUACUGUAGAACUUGAAUUAUUGUGAAGUAACUAGAAUAUGUAGUGUAGCGGUGAAAUGCUUAGAUAUUACAUGGAAUACCCAUUGCGAAGGCAGGUUACUAACAAUAUAUUGACGCUGAUGGACGAAAGCGUGGGGAGCGAACAGGAUUAGAUACCCUGGUAGUCCACGCCGUAGACGAUGGAUACUAGCUGUUC
rnacentral:rRNA from 1 species